CCUGCCUGAGCUCUGUGGUCUAACCAGAACCCUCUUGAAGUUGUGAGGAACCCAAGCUCUGCCCCAAAUCACUGGGCCCGGCACACGACUCACACGACUCCCCUGCCACCACGCUGUGAACAAAAAGGGGCUUCUGGAUUUUGGCACAGGUAACCGCUGUGGGAGAAAACCACCCACAAAGUGGUACCGUUUCUAACUGAGACAGCCAUGCUCAGCAGCCAAAGCCUAAACUCUCAGAAAAGAGAUGUCUGAAGCACCCGAUGCCUGACUUUGCAAUACCAGAGAGGGCUGAUUGAGCAAGGCGACCCAUGUGGUCCCUUCUCUCGGACCCUGAAGAAUGAGCGUAAAGAUUUGGCUUCUGGGGCACCGCGUGAUCUUGGAUAUCUUCAGAAAUGGCAAGGAAAGGCCAUAUUAUGCUCACCCUGGUUUUAGUUUUAAGUGUACCUUACUUAAUGUUUUCAAUAUGAGUCACCUCCAUAUAUUGCGAUGAUUUUCAAAUCACCAGAGGUUGCCUGCAGCUCAUUUUAGACAGGAAGCAUGAGGACAGCAUCCAGCUGCUUCCACCCUGGAAGCAGGUCUGAGGCCAGUGGUCCUGGAUUUUCUGGCCUGCGGCCCCAGUCUGCUGGAUUACAGACAGCGCCCUCUUGGCCCCCUGCGUCUCCUGACUCUCCUCUCCUGAUGGAGGCGAAGACCGCCCCCCCCACCCCCGCCCCCAUCAGCCACGCACAUCUUGAAGCAGCCACUCCGUCUGAUACACCUGCCUGGGACUCCCGUACCUGGAAUAGGUUGAGCAACUGGCCAUCCUUCCUGUCCUCCAGGGUGGGUACGUGUGCGCGUUGGGGGCAGGGGGUUAAAGGAAAUGCACAGAAAGUUACUACCAUGUGGUUGGGCUGAAGGAAGGGGGAGCUGCUCUCAUUGCGAGGAUGUUACCGAUAAAAACGACGGUGGUCAUAGCAGUGAGGAUAGUGACAACAUCUAGAACCCCGGGUUUUCCUGGAGAGACCCCUGAAGCACCCUCCGUUUACCAAAUCAAUAAAGGUCUUACAAAUCAGAGCAGGACACAGAUGAGAUCUCACUCCAGGAGCAUGAAAACCAAUUCUUUAUGGCUACCCCCAGGGCCCGGGGCCCAGGUAGACGUAGAAAGGUGUCUGAGCGCAGGUCUGAAUCAGUGGAUAUGUACUUAGCAGCUGCCGAGUCCCCUUGUAACUUGCGUGCUAAGCAUCACCGAUCUUUCCAAGGCCCCAAGAGGCUGGUCGUCUCAUUAACCCCAUUUCACAAAUGAGGAUGGUGAGACCCCAAGAAGUUCAGCAGCUUGUCCAGCGUGAGGGUGAGCUCUCCGUACAUCAACGGCUAGCGGGGACACCCGUCAGGGACCGUGAAAACCUCCUGGAGGGAGGUAACCAGAGCCCAGGCUGGGGUGCUGCCGAAGGGUGCGGGGUGGUCGACAGGGCCGGCCAGCGAUAGGCCAGUCUCUAAGCUGAGGGAGCCAUGGCCAGAGGGCACUGGGCAAUUUCCAAAUAUCAUCAAAUUGUCAGCAUUUUCUUUUUGCAGUAGGUGUCCUUUUAAAAUAGAUCUGCCCAGUUUCUAUCUUUCUUUUCUUACUUUCUUUUCUUACUCCCUGCCUGCACCCUCACUUAGAAUCAGCAUCUUUUGGUAGUUGGAAAAUAUGACAAAGCAGCAAAUCGUAUUAAUGAACGCUCUGUUUUCAGACCUGCCCGUGGCCUUAUUUCUGGCCUUUUUUACAUGACUCUCCUGAUUAUCAGAGUGAUCAUAUCAGUUCACCACAGGCUUAUAUCUCCUUCCCAACAGCGUUUAUCCAGGAGGAUUAAGACACGGGAGCCGGUGAUAAACACCCGUCUGAUACCUGGCAUGUUCUCUGAAAUGGGGACAAGAGAAAGUGCCAGUGUGGACAAACCACUGAGGCACGGCCUAGGGCAUUUCACCUUUUUGGGCUCUGCUCUCCAUGAAGAUGGCAUUUCUCUGAGCACUUACAGAGAUUACUCAUCGAGAGAGACAGAGUGGGCUGGGAUCCCACCUCGGAAAUCCCUGGUGUGUGCCUUGCUGAGGUCCUGAGUUUCGAGACUCUCAGCCUUGCCACCGAGGACACUGAAAUCAUGGGAUCUUGCCUGGAAAAGUCACUGCUCAGGGGCCACAAGCCCAGAUACCUCCAGAGUCCAGACUUCCAGCGUUCGCCAGACGCGAAUAUGAAAACCCCAAGAAAUGAAAGGAAGGUGUAACAAUCAACUUUUCAAAAGCUGUUGAGGAACGUUAACACGCAGGAGCAGAGAGUAGCCUCUGCCCCCCACCCCCCAGUUUUCUUUGGGAUGAUACUGGGCAUGGGGCAGUCUUCCACAGCUUCCUGCAUUUUUAAAUUAUGAAAGACUAAGAGGGGAGCAAGACCAUGUGAUAUUCAGCAGCCUCCUGAGAAGCCAAGACAUGCGGCCAUGAUUGCUUUAGGACGACCGUGGCUUCUAGAAGGCGACACACACAAGACCGUGCGUGAACACCGAUGCUCUUAAACCCUUUUUGACCUAGUGCCUCCUGCUGUGUAGGCCACACUCUGAUACCCCUAAGGGAUAUAGAGAAACUAAGGAAAUGGCGUUUUGUGAGGGGGCAAAAGACCCAGGCCAGCCGCAUCUGUGAGCAGUGUGGACCUCAUCCUGGCGGGGUCAGAAGAUCUACUUUCCAUUUACAGCUAGAUUCGUCUUAGGGAAAACAUAAGUUCUAUAUCUCAGGUGCUUUUAACAGGAAAAGUAGGGCAUUUUCUAUCGGACAGGACCAAGUGCUUCGACUUCCCCAUGAACGUUGUAGUGUGCCAGCUGGUCAAAUAUUCUCAUUUCUUGUGGGGUUUUGUCUGUCUGUUUGUUUUUGUUUUUUUCAGGAGAACGGAAAACCUGCUA